rnacentral:lncRNA from 1 species
AGCUACAGGAGUGGAAGGCGCAGCCAAGCAGCCGCUGGUAUUUCUGUGUUGCAUAUGGGCUGGGGUCCCUCCUGUCCUUCUCUCCUACACGAUCCCAGAUCUGAUUUCUAAUGGUGUUGUAUUUCCUCCCUAAAUCAUUUUUCAAUAGUAUUUUUGUUCUUCUGUGGGAUACAGAAGAACUUUUUUUUCCUAUUGCAAUAAGGACAAGUAAACAAGUCAGAAGCCUCAGAAGACCUCAAGAGAGAAAUCACAGCCUUCAAUUCCUGGUCCCUUUCUGAAACCUCAGCUCUUGAUUCACUUAAUUUCAAGGAGAAUUGUUUUAUGACUACGCCAAGCUGACCCAAAGACCCCUGGGAAGCACGUGGCCCAUCAGAGGGAAGGGCUAGGCCCUGGGGCUGGAAAGGAUGCAGAGCCUGUUUUCAACAAUUACGUCUACAUUUUCCAAGAGAUUAAACCGAUUGGAAGCCAAGCAUUGGAGAAGAGAUCUUUUGUCUUCCUUGGCAACAUUUCUGAAAUCUACAGAUAGGGAUGAGGAAGUGAGGCACAUUUUUCAUCUGUUCCAACAAACUGCCAAUGGAAUGGCUGACAUGCCAUUUUAGUGUAUGUCAUCUCUCCCGUGUUCCGUCAUCACUGAGGGUCAGCUGGGCCCUGCCCUUGAAUACAGCACAGGGCUGGUGUCAUGGAGCCGGCCUUCCUUACACUAAUGAACCGCAGGAGCCUCCCCUUGUCCCUUGCCUGGGGGGAACUAAUGGCAUUGCAGGGCAAAGGCUCAGCAGGGACCCUGUAGAUAGAGGAUAGAUCGGCACCCAGGCGUCUUACAGGGUGGACCCCAUGCUGGCAGGGUGGGAAGCCAGAGAAAAGAGGCUUGGAAGAAGCAAAGGGAACUCUCAAGAGGGUGCAGAGAUGAACGUGGCUUGCACCUGGAGAAUUCCCAGCCAAUGUGAGCUUGACGCCCCUCUCCUUUCCACCAAUCAGAUGGCACUACCACCUCCUCCUAAUUCCUCUACCAAUGAAAACUAGGUUCCUUUACCUUAUCCACCAAUCAGGGCUUUGGACAAAGAAUAAUCUUAUCAAACCCCACAUGGAUUCACACGCAUCUGGUAGCUUGGUUGUUGACUGAUACAAGUAUGGACCCCCUAGAAGGAACAACAAAUGGAGCUGCCGUCUAUAUACACACGUCGAUUUAGGUCUCUGUCUCUGGCAACUGAAAAGAGACCCAACAAAACAUCUUACAGAGCACCAGGGCCAAUUCUUGAUGCGUCGUUAGAUUCUGUGUAGCCAGAAAGCAGAAACAGAAACAUAUCCAAGCCAGGCGGAGGAAAAACUUUGAGGCCUGUUUAUCCAGGUUCAAGACAAUUUCUAUUUAAAAAAAAAAAAAAGAAAAAAAGAGAGAAAAAAAAAGCUCAUAACAGAAUAAGUUCAGCUUCUCCUGAGUGUCAGAGCUAAGAUCUAACGCCUCUGCUGGUUUCCAUGACAACCACCAGCAGCUACAAUCAUGCCGAACCAAGAACCAGAGGAUUCAGUAACUUUACCUUGAUUCUGUGGCCAGAUUAUUGCCAAUUUUAAAAGGAAAUGCAUAGUGAGCCCCUGUCUCUGUUGUGUCUUCAGUUGUCCCUUGAAAUCUGGAUAUCUUGACAAGAGGCCAGGGCCUAUCCUAUCUCAUCUCCCCAAGCUAGUGUCCUUCCCAGAUGAAUUUCUUCUGGCGCUGGUGAGAUUACUUGGUGACCUAGUUCCGACUACACAAGUUAUGCUGUCGUGAUUGCUGGGGGUAAUUGCUCAAAAUAGCUCUCUGAUUUGUUUCAUAAACAGGCUCUGUGGCAGGCUCAUGUCGUUUUUUCCCCAAAGAAGAGAUUCCAGAGACGAGGCCUUCACUGAGAGCUUGCUCCUCUACCUCCUGUGGGUUUCAGGGCUGGGACGGGGGACACAGAGAAUCUGUCUCUCGCGAAUGCCAAGUUGAGGUCCUAGCCUGGCUAGGAACUCUUGCAUUCCCCUUGCCUCGCUGUAGCCUCCCCUGGGAACAGACCUUCCAGGAGGGUCGCACCGAGUGAUGAGACUGUUGCAUGAGGCUCUGCAGUGCUUGGACACAGAACUGCACUGCGGCCUUCCAGAUGCUCAGCUGGAAAACCCCUGAGAACCUGAGGCUUUUCUACAGCACAUUAGAGCUUAUGACUGGAGAGUGUCUACCGCCUGAGGGCAGGGAUGAGAUUUUACCUAUCCUAUUCACCUGCUUAGGUGCCCACUUCAUCC